AUACGAAGUUAAAAGGCGCUUUGGCGUCACCUAGAGAUGGAUCCGCGGUGCAUUAGUUAGUUGGUGGGGUAAAGGCCUACCAAGACAAUGAUGCAUAGCCGAGUUGAGAGACUGAUCGGCCACAUUGGGACUGAGACACGGCCCAAACUCCUACGGGAGGCUGCAGUAGGGAAUCUUCCACAAUGGGCGAAAGCCUGAUGGAGCAACGCCGCGUGUGUGAUGAAGGCUUUCGGGUCGUAAAGCACUGUUGUAUGGGAAGAACAGCUAGAAUAGGGAAUGAUUUUAGUUUGACGGUACCAUACCAGAAAGGGACGGCUAAAUACGUGCCAGCAGCCGCGGUAAUACGUAUGUCCCGAGCGUUAUCCGGAUUUAU
rnacentral:rRNA from 1 species